GCUGGCAGGAGCACAGAGCAGGGGGCUGGCAGCUCUGUCUGGCUUUUCCCUGAAAUGCAUCCUGCAUCCAAGGUGUCUGCAAAGAGUGACUGCCAGAUUCUGGUUAUGAAUUUGGGCCCCAUGAACCACAAGGGGUCCUUCUGGGCAGCCUUGAAGCAUGUGUACCCCAGAGAUAAGGAUUUAAACUAACAGUGACUUGUCAAGAUAAACGCUUGCCUGAGUGACUACUCUCCUUAGCCCCUCGCCUUGUUUGAGAUUAACGUAAGCGCAUUGACGUAAAUCAUUGAUAGCCACCUGAGCUGCUACAGGUAUGAACAAGCUUUAACUAUGGACCCUGGCCAGCUAACGAUGCUCAUCUGUGGAGACAGCCACAAAGGCACGUCCUUUUGCCAGUCCGGCAAGCGACGCCGUUCCACGCUCCUCUCUGCCAAAUGACAGAAAAACGGUAACACCCGAUUGAGACGCGACUGAGCUCUCGGGUGAGGAACGCCGGCCCCCUGCCUGCACCCGGGACCAGACCAGCCCAGCUGCCGGACCCCAGAGGACAGCACCACAAGGAUCCCUAACUAAGCUUGUACCCACAGCUCAGGAAUUUGUGUGAGUAAUAAAAAAGCUGUGUGAUUUGCAAC